rnacentral:rRNA from 1 species
GACGAACGCUGGCGGCGUGCUUAACACAUGCAAGUCGAACGGAAAGGCCCCCACCUUGGUGGGGGUGCUCGAGUGGCGAACGGGUGAGUAACACGUGGGUGAUCUGCCCUGUACUUCGGGAUAAGCUUGGGAAACUGGGUCUAAUACCGGAUAGGACCAUGGUUUAGUGUCUCAUGGUGGAAAAAUUAUUGUUUUGGUGCAGGAUGAGCUCGCGGCCUAUCAGCUUGUUGGUGGGGUAAUGGCCUACCAAGGCGUCGACGGGUAGCCGGCCUGAGAGGGUGGACGGCCACAUUGGGACUGAGACACGGCCCAGACUACUACGGGAGGCAGCAGUGGGGAAUAUUGCACAAUGGGCGCAAGCCUGAUGCAGCGACGCCGCGUGGGGGAUGACGGCCUUCGGGUUGUAAACUCCUUUCGUUAGGGACGAAGCCACACCUUUUUUGGGUGUGGUGACGGUACCUUUGUUAAGAAGCACCGGCUAACUACGUG